ACCCUGUCAAUCACCUUCAAGCGGCGGCCGACGCGCUGCUCCUGGCCAAUCAGCAAACGCGAAUUCAGCCUCUGGGUUGCAAUUGGUGAAGCAAGAGCGCCAUUUCGGGCCUUUAAAAGCCCUCUCUCGGCGCCUGCCUUCGCGAGAAGACCUUCAGCGCUGCUGCUGCCGCCGCCGCCGCCGCCGCCUUUGGUUGAACUGACGUCAGUUCUCCCAAACCACCGGCAGAGGGCGCCCGAGUCUGGAAGACGUGGAGAGACGUAAGUGCACAAGCAUUUUUGUUCCUGAAUGAAAGAAGUAUACAAAAUUGAUGAAUAAAUACCAUCUCUAAAGCUGUGUUUGACACCCUAGUCCUUCCAUACUGCCUUCCUAAAUGGAACUGUUUACUCGAAAUGAGUUGCAGUUGUCAAUAUGAAGACUGCACAAAUGACAUGAAAGUCCAUAACUGAAGAUUGUGUGCCACAAAUGUAAUGAAUUUGGAACACCUUUUAAUACUUUGCCUGUGGAUUUUGCCUUUUCCUCUUUCAGAUAACAAACAACAUGAGCAGGUAAAGUGUCAUAUAAAGCCCUCUAUCUCUCUUUCUAUAUAUACAUGUCAGUAUCACUCUCUUUCUGUAAGCCUGUCUGUUUUAAGAUUUGUGGAGGAGAGCUUUCGCUCAGUCCCAUCACCAUCACAAUUACUAGUGGUGAGAACAUGGAAGAUUGCUCUCAGGGAGGCUUCUUAUUGGGUGUAUGCUUUAUUUAUUUUUAACUUUUGUAUGUUUUAAAAAAAUAUAGUUUUCCUUUAAUUUUAUACUCUUUUAAAUGGUAUGAUUUUAAUUAUGUCAGGUUUUAAUCAAUGUAUUAUGUAAGCUGCUAUACUAAAUAAUUAUAUUUCUCAUUGCCUGCUCCCAGGCUGCAGAAGUUCUCCCACUAAGGACUAGGUGGCCCUCUAUCUCCUCCUGCCAGCAGGUGUGGACCUUUUACUUGAAUAGACAUUUGGUAACUAGCUGGCUAUGAAGUACUUUUAUUAUAUUUUAAUAUGGUAGUUUAUUUAAUUCUUUUUUAACUUUCAUAAUUAUGUAGGGUCCCAUAUCAGGAUAAACUUGGGAUAUAAAUUAAAUAUAUGAAUUUAUUUAAAAAUAUUUGAAAGAAUGACGAAAGAUCAUCAGAAAACAGUGACAGCAGCACAGUGCAUCUCUUCUGGUUUAUUUACAGACAUAUUACAGUUAACAAAACUGACCAAGAUCCUUUUUACAAGCAUCUGUAAAACGCAUCUGCCUAGUUAGAAAUCUUUUAGCAGAGGCUGGUGAGGGAGAACUGGAGGAACAUGCUUUUGUUGCUGAGUUAAAGUAGGGGGUCUAUAAUAAACAAAGCAAUAAAGCUUCAGCUGGGAAAGAAUGGUAUCUCAUUUUAGUCAAUCAUAUUAUAGCUGUGUGUGAGUGCCUACAACAGGCAAGGUAAACAGCAGUUGCUUUCAGAAUAAUUUACUGAGCAUGCAUGAACAACAAAACGGGAAAAAGAAAGCUGAUAAGUCUGCUUCUAUUCCAACAUUUAAAAAAAAACAGGUGUGGCCAGUAAAAUUAAAUUUUUAACAGAAGUGGAAGCUGAUGAGGGAGAAAAAAAAUUCUGGAAACAUUUUGUAAGAAACUCUCAGGCUGAACAUGUUUUUGUUUAUAAUUAACCUCUUCUAUUGCAUAUUGUCCCUUCAGAAUAAAGUUUGAUGAAACAA